GUCAAAGCAUUUAAUGAAGGAGCGUAUUCAGUUAGAAAUCAUUUAAACUAGAUUCACCAUUCAAAAUUGAAUUCUGUUAGGAUUUUCAAAGAAACAAUCGGUUGAAAUCACGAAACAAUCGAUUGUUUUGGUUUGACAGUUAAGUCAACCAAACCAAACAACUUUCAACCUUUUUCAAAAACUCCUAAGAGUAAAAUAACUGGUUGAUUUGACAAAACAACAGGUUGUUUUUCACUUAUUUGGAU
rnacentral:lncRNA from 1 species